rnacentral:rRNA from 1 species
UACGGAGGGAGCUAGCGUUGUCCGGAAUCACUGGGCGUAAAGGGCGCGUAGGCGGCUCAUGAAGGCUGUGGUGAAAGUCCGGGGCUCAACCUCGGAUCGGCCGUGGCGACUCGUGGGCUGGAGCACUGUAGAGGCGGGUGGAAUUCCGGGGUGUAGCGGUGGAAUGCGUAGAGAUCCGGAGGAACACCAAAGGCGAAGGCAGUGUCCUGGGGGAGUACCUGACGCUCAGGUGCGAAAGCCAGGGGAGCGAACGGG